rnacentral:rRNA from 1 species
GAUGAACGCUGGCGGCGUGCCUAAUACAUGCAAGUCGAGCGAACAGACGAUGAGCUUGCUCCUCUGACGUUAGCGGCGGACGGGUGAGUAACACGUGGAUAACCUACCUAUAAGACUGGGAUAACUUCGGGAAACCGGAGCUAAUACCGGAUAAUAUAUUGAACCGCAUGGUUCAAUGGAGAAAGACGGUGUUGCUGUCACUUAUAGAUGGAUCCGCGCGGCAUUAGCUAGUUGGUAAGGUAACGGCUUACCAAGGCAACGAUGGGUAGCCGACCGGAGAGGGUGAUAGCCCACCCUGGAACGUGGACACGCUCCAUACUCCUACGGGAGGCAGCAGUAGGGAAUCUUACGCAAUGGGCGAAAGCCUGACGGAGCAACGCCGCGUGAGUGAUGAAGGUCUUCGGAUCGUAAAACUCUGUUAUUAGGGAAGAACAAAUGUGUACGUAACUAUGCACGUCUUGACGGUAACUAAUCAGAAAGCAACGGCUAACUACGUG